CUCUCAACUCAAACUCCUUUGCAACAGAUUUCUGUGUAAAUCUAUUUAUGAGAGCCUGCCAUACUUCAAGUAAUCAGGGUUCAUCAUUUCUCCAGUCUCAGUUUGUAUCAUUCGAUUUGGAGGUUCUGCUUUCACGGAUUCGCCAGCUCCUGUAGUCAUGGAUCGCCAGCUCAUUCGUUC